AAUCAUAUGAUCGAAAAAAAGAUUGGAGCCAGUCGAAAAUUUUUACACGACGGACUGACUUGGGGUAGCGCGCAGGCACACAUUUCUACCUACUCCUGCUAUUCUGCAAGAAUCUUGAGAUUGUGAAAACUGGAUUCCAUCGGUGAAAUCUGAAAAAUAUUCUGUGUGAAAAGAAAAAAGAAAAUUUGCAAAGAUGGCACUCAGCGACGCAGAUGUACAAAAACAGAUUAAGCAUAUGAUGGCUUUCAUUGAGCAAGAAGCCAAUGAAAAGGCCGAAGAAAUCGAUGCUAAAGCCGAAGAGGAAUUCAAUAUUGAAAAGGGACGUCUGGUGCAACAACAGCGUCUCAAGAUCAUGGAGUACUAUGAAAAGAAGGAGAAGCAAGUGGAACUGCAAAAAAAGAUUCAAUCAUCGAAUAUGCUGAACCAAGCGCGUUUGAAGGUUUUGAAAGUGCGUGAAGAUCACGUUCGCAAUGUACUUGAUGAGGCCCGGCGUCGUCUUGGUGAAGUAACAAAGAAUCCCGGUGAAUAUAAAGAGGUUUUGCAGAAACUUAUCUUGCAAGCGCUCUACCAGGCCAUGGAACCGAGUGUCAUUUUACGCUGCCGUCAGGCCGAUAUUGGCCUACUUAAUGAAGUGCUACCCGCGACAGUUGAGGAGUACAAGACACAAAUUGGCAAAGAUGUGAAUGUACAUAUCGAUACGGAUAAUCAUCUGUCGGCGGAUACUUGCGGUGGAAUUGAGUUGAUUGCCCUCAAUGGACGUCUAAAGGUACCAAAUACUCUGGAGUCCAGAUUAGAACUGAUUGCGCAACAACUUGUGCCAGAGAUCCGUAACGCUUUGUUUGGUCGUAAUGUCAAUCGUAAAUUCACCGAUUAAAUAAUUUAAGUGUAAAUACUAUGCAACAAACAAAACCAACAGACAUACAUAUAAAUCCUACAUACAUAUUUAAAGAUGAAAACAAGUAAAAAAUACUGCAAAAAGUAGUUGAAUCUAAUAAAAUUGUCAAAAUAUAUAGUGGAUGGUAGGAAAUUCAUAAGGCGGAAUUGCGAUAAUACUGCAACAGCAUGAACUCAAUGUUUGGAAUAAUAAAUUACUCUCAGUGAGAAGUUUUCGUAGCAGCGAAAGUGCGAAAGAAGAGAAGACAAACAGAGGGGCCUCCCUAUAAUAAUUUUGAAAACAAUUUAUAUAUAAACAUUGCAUUGUGUAUAUCAAUAACACCGGGUUCCAUUCAAAGAUUCGCUGCCGUGUUACAACACACAAACAAUCGUUCAGGAGCAUUUGCAAACCAAUAAGAUAUUCAUUGUUUGAAGAUACAUAAAUAUAUGAAAUUAUUAAAACUACAGACAAUGAGCGCAGAUAAAUUGUAAGAAUGAACAAGGCAGCCAAAAGUAGACAACUUAAACAAAAAAUGUGGACACAAAAUUGUGUUUUUAGUUAUUCAAACGAAAAAUUAUAUUCAUUAAAAUGCAUAAAACUAUCUUAAAGCAACAAACACACAACACAUGCAUAAAUUGUAUAAAACUAAUACAUAAUCACACAUUUAUAUACAUUCCUGUACAAAAAUUCUAUUAUGCUCGCUAUUAAUUUGAGAAAUUGUUUUGUUCUGAUGUCGAAGCAGCGAUUAAUAGAGCUCAGCAGUAAAUUUAGAGUCAGGUCAUGUUUUUAAUGCAAACUCUAUAUCCACGCUUCAUUGCUUGCUGCGGCUUCAUGAAUUGAAAUACAUACAUAUAAACAUAAAAUUUCCGUUUGAAUUUAUAUUGUAUUUUCGGAAUACAACUAUUGAUGUAAUUUACAUUAUUUGUUAAAAUUUUCUAUAUCUAAAAUUAAAAUGUUCCCUCUAUUUGGUUUAAUUAUAAACAUGCACUAUUAAUAGACGUUUGUUGGUUGCCUAAUGUUAAGCAGUUUAUAUAAUUAUAUAGUAGCUUGAUUAGACAUUAAUUGAUUAGACAAAAAUAUAAUCGUACAAAAAGUUACGGGCACCGCACUUAUUCGCCGAAAAGCGUGCAACAAAGCAGAGAUAGCGACAAGAAGAAAUCGGAGGAUGGUAAACAUGUGGAAUUGCAUACGUACAGAUGAGGUGACCCAUGAAGCUUGAACUUUGCAGCAGUGUGCACACACUAUCACCAAAAGGCAGUUGGAAAUAUUGGUAAUAAUGCGUUAGAAAUCAUUUUAAAUGUGUGGCAUGCAACAUGUGUAUGUGAAUUACACGAAAUUUGUGCUCUGAACAUGUACUCAAAUGGUGGGCAAAAAAAACCUCAGCAUCGCUAUAUUUCAAACACUGAAAUAAAAGCUCUUUAUGUUGUGUUCUAUUCGUUAAACAGCAUUGUAGUUGAUUUCACUGUGCGAAAUGUAGCGCUCGCCGAAGAGAUAUGUUCGGAAAACAAAUUUAUUUUCCUACGUAGCGAAAAACUCAGUCUCAUAAAGUUGUUUGUUUGUUGGUUGAAAGCGAAUACGGGAUUUUGCAGUUAAAAAUAUUUACGAGACGUCAGUUCGUCUUUGCGCAGGCGUGUUAUUAAAGUUUUUAAGUGCUUAGAAUUAUUGAAAUAAAAUACUGUUUCAAAAGUAUUUUAAAGUACUUAAGAGUUUUAUUUCACAAGCCUGUAGUUAAGUUUUGUGGAGUUGCUUUUUUGCUGGUUUCUCACUAUAGUUUAUUAUAAUCAAGUGUGUAUAUGUUUGCCACAAUUCUUUUAGUAAUCUAAAUGUUAUCAAUAAUCCAAAAAAAAAUAAUAAUAAUGUAUAAAAGUGUUGGAAAUAAUGCUACUGCACAUUUUAUAAAUAACCUUGCGUAUAUGAAAAGUUUUAAUGAAAAAAAUUGGAAAUAUGUAAAUCUCCGCUUGCUGCUGUAUGUACGCAUCUGUACGCAUCUUUCCAACAGAGUCCUCGCUGCUGCUACUGCCUGCUUGCCUGUUGCCGCCUCGCUGUUCAUAUCAAAUGAGCUUUAGGGAAUGUUUGUAGCUUAUUAAAUGUUUUAAAUUUGUAUUUUUGUGCCGUUUUUGAUUGUAUCCUUCUCUUCUUUCGACUUUCUGUUAAGUUUAAAAGUAUUUUUUUGUAAAUGUAUAAUAAAAAUUGAUUUUUUUUUUGCAAUUUGUGUAAAACAAACUAAAAAUAUAAACAAAAAUGCUUUGCCUUUUUUGCUUUAAUUGCAUACUUAUUAUUGUUAGCAUAUAAAAAUGCAAUAUUUUAGAACUAACACAUACACACAAAUAUAACUAGUUCACCUAAAUAACCGAUGAUGGGGAAGCUGCAUUAGAUUUGCUGUUAUCAUCGUUGUUCCAAAAAAAUAAAGUAUACAUACACAAACUACAUACAUGCA
rnacentral:misc_RNA from 1 species